rnacentral:rRNA from 1 species
UACGUAGGGACCAAGCGUUGUUCGGAUUUACUGGGCGUAAAGGGCGCGUAGGCGGCGCGGUAAGUCACUUGUGAAAUCUCUGAGCUUAACUCAGAACGGCCAAGUGAUACUGCAGUGCUAGAGUGCGGAAGGGGCAACUGGAAUUCUUGGUGUAGCGGUGAAAUGCGUAGAUAUCAAGAGGAACACCUGCGGCGAAGGCGGGUUGCUGGGCCGACACUGACGCUGAGGCGCGAAAGCCAGGGGAGCGAACGGG